AUGGCGUCCGGCCCUCCCGGGAAGCUGUCGAGCUUUGAGCCCUCUCUGUGGGGUGAUUUCUUCAUGAGUUACGAGCCACAACCACUACAGAGCGAGGAAUGGAUGAUGGAGAGAGCUGAUAUACUGAAAGAGAAAAUCCACAUGUUGUUUCGGAGUUGCGAUGGGGUGUUGGAGAAAAUGUUCUUAGUGGAUUCACUCCAACAUCUCGGAAUUGAUCACCACUUUAAAGAAGAGAUUGACAAUAUGUUGAGCGAAAUCCUUGGGAGUGAAUUUAGUUGCUCUAGUCUCCAUGAGGUCGCUCUUCGAUUUCGCUUGCUUAGGGAGCACGGUCAUUGGGUAUCUCCAGAUGUCUUCAACAAAUUCAAAUGUGAAAGCGGGGUCUUCAACAAGGAUAUUACUUAUGAUACAAGGGGAUUAUUAAGUUUAUACAAUGCAGCUCAUCUUCUCAUCCAUGGUGAACCAGCACUAGAAAAAGCCAUCACUUUUGCAAAGUACCAUCUUGAAUCAAGGAUUGCGAGUCUCGAGUUCCCCUUAGCCAAGCAAGUUAAACGUGCCCUUCACUUGCCACUGCCAAGGACUUAUAAGAGGAUGGAAGCAAUACAUUACAUCUCGGAGUACAAAGAAGAGGAAUAUCACAACCCUGCUCUAUUGGAGUUUGCAAAGCUAGACUUUAACCUUCUACAACAUGUACACUUGAAGGAGUUGAAAGCUAUUAGUGGGUGGUGGAAAGAACUUUCCAGAUGCAUCGAGCUGACCUAUGUUCGUGAUCGUGUGGUGGAGAACUAUCUUUGGUCCCAUGUGAUGUUCUAUGAGAAAGACUACGAGCUCGCACGGGUGAUCGGUGCCAAAAUAAAUGUGCUACUUACCAUCAUGGAUGACACAUUUGAUGCCCAUGCCACCAUAGAGGAAUGUCGGAAGCUGACUGAAGCCGUACAAAGAUGGGAUGAGAGCGAUGUUUCUCUUCUGCCGGAUUACUUGAAGAAGUUCUUUGAUGAACUGUUGGCAAACAUUAAGGAGUUUGGGAGUGAAAUGGCAAAGAAUAACAACUACGAGAUUGCCUACAUCAAGAAACAGUUCCAAAAACAGUUCAUUUAUUAUCUCCAAGAAGUCGAAUGGUUGCACCAGAAUCACAAGCCAAGCUUUGAAGAGCUAGUGAAUCUGACCUCCAUGACCAUAUGUGUACCAACAGUAUGUGUGUGUUUUCUUGUUGGCAUGGGCGAUGCAAUGCCCAAGGAAACACUCGAGUGGGUAGCUGGUUUCCCUGAUGUCGUCAUGGCAUGCGCAAAGCUUACAAGGUUCAUGAAUGACAUCGCUUCAUUUAAACGUGGAAGAAGCAAGGUAGACGCAACGAAUUCAGUAGAGUGGUACAUCGCGGAGCAUGGGGUCACGAGGGAGGUCGCAGUUGCCACGAUCGAGUCACUCAUAGAAGACGAAUGGAGAAGCCUAAAUCAAGCUCGCUUUGGGAACCGAGUGCUGCUCCCCGCAGUGCAGCGGGUUAUCAGAUUCGCUGUUAGUAUGCCGUUAUACUAUGGUGGAGGGAACGAUGCAUUCACAUUCAGCAAGCAUCUUCACAAGACUAUUGAGGCCCUCUUUGUCAACCCCAUUCCCAUCUAG
rnacentral:rRNA from 1 species